GACGAACGCUGGCGGCGUGCUUAACACAUGCAAGUCGAACGGUAAGGCCCUUCGGGGUACACGAGUGGCGAACGGGUGAGUAACACGUGGGUGAUCUGCCCUGCACUUCGGGAUAAGCCUGGGAAACUGGGUCUAAUACCGGAUAGGACCACUGCCUGCAUGGGUGGUGGUGGAAAGCUUUUGCGGUGUGGGAUGGGCCCGCGGCCUAUCAGCUUGUCGGUGGGGUGAUGGCCUACCAAGGCGACGACGGGUAGCCGGCCUGCGAGGGUGACCGGCCACACUGGGACUGAGAUACGGCCCAGACUCCUACGGGAGGCAGCAGUGGGGAAUAUUGCACAAUGGGCGCAAGCCUGAUGCAGCGACGCCGCGUGAGGGAUGACGGCCUUCGGGUUGUAAACCUCUUUCAGCACCGACGAAGCGCAAGUGACGGUAGGUGCAGAAGAAGGACCGGCCAACUACGUGCCAGCAGCCGCCGUAA
rnacentral:rRNA from 1 species